rnacentral:rRNA from 1 species
UGCAGUCGAACGCUGAAGCAUCCAGCUUGCUGGGUGUGGAUGAGUGGCGAACGGGUGAGUAACACGUGAGUAACCUGCCCCUGACUUCGGGAUAAGCCUGGGAAACUGGGUCUAAUACCGGAUAUGACUACUGGCCGCAUGGUCUGGUGGUGGAAAGGGUUUUACUGGUUGGGGAUGGACUCGCGGCCUAUCAGUUUGUUGGUGGGGUAGUGGCCUACCAAGACGACGACGGGUAGCCGGCCUGAGAGGGCGACCGGCCACACUGGGACUGAGACACGGCCCAGACUCCUACGGGAGGCAGCAGUGGGGAAUAUUGCACAAUGGGGGGAACCCUGAUGCAGCGACGCCGCGUGCGGGAUGACGGCCUUCGGGUUGUAAACCGCUUUCAGUAGGGAAGAAGCGAAAGUGACGGUACCUGCAGAAGAAGUACCGGCUAACUACGUGCCAGCAGCCGCGGUAAUACGUAGGGUACAAGCGUUGUCCGGAAUUAUUGGGCGUAAAGAGCUCGUAGGUGGUUGGUCACGUCUGCUGUGGAAACGCAACGCUUAAUUUUGUGCGUGCAGUGGGUUCCAGCUGACUAGAGUGCAGUAGGGGAGUCUGGAAUUCCUGGUGUAGCGGUGAAAUGCGCAGAUAUCCAGAGGAACACCCGGUGGC